CACCCCUGCUGGAGAAGGUCCAAAGCAUCUCCAUCUCUGUGCUUUCAGAGGGGCAGUGUGGUAGCCACUUAAAAUGCCCAGGCUGUACCAUGCACUAGAGCGUCUGCCUGGGCAAGGGAUAUGCCGUAUGACACGCUCUCUCGAUGCUGGGCAGUGGCUGCGAGCCGAAGCGCCCAGGCAGCCCUGCCCUCAGAAGGGUAAACCACGGACACCUGAUGCCUUCCCGAAGGAAGUGCGCUCCGCCUGCCAAACCAGCAAGCGCUGAUGCUCCAGCGCCUUCUUCCCGCGGUUCUCCAGCCUCAGCAGUAGAGAGAAAUUGAUGACCCUGUCGUUGUAGCAUCCCCAUCACCCGGCAAUUAAUUUUAGCUCAAUGCUUCGAACGCUCUUCGGGCGCAGUGUGCGUUCAGCUGUGUCAGCUAAUGGCACUGGAGAUACAGCAAUGAAAGAGACAACAUGCCCUCAAGGAUCUCACAGUGUGUGGGUGAGGUGGACACACACACAGAUCUAAGCACAUGACAGUGAGAGGCACGUGGUCACGAGGAUGUGACGUGGAGCUCAGAGCCCAGAGGAAGGGCUCUGGGUCAAGCAUUGUCAGAGCACACUCGGCCAUGAAGGUCUUUGAAGGUGGUGAAGGGGUGAAGAUGGUGAGAGGAUUCCAGGGCUGGGAGAGGUACUCUCCCUACACGUUCUAACCAACUGGCCGUGGGGAGGAAGCUGGAGCAAAUGGGGGAUCUCAGAAGCCUUAAUGAAGUAACUAUCCCUGAACACUCAAUAGUCAGAAUCCAGCCGUCAAAGCAACACCAAGGUAUGUACCGGGGAAAGGAAGGUUUUAGGUGAACACCUAGCUGCAUAUCUGGUUAACCUGCAACCACACAAAGCAGCCGGGGCAAAGGUGUGUCCUGAUGCUUUGUGGUGUACUUGGAACUCCACAGCCAGAGAUUAGAUGUUAUUUGCUCACUGUUCAAAACAAGAGGUGUAAAGGAAGUUCAGCAACAACCGAAAGAUGACUCGUAAUUUGUAACUGACUGGCUAUGCUUGGUGAGCCUGGUGUAUUUAUAAUCUUUCAAAGCCAAGCGCAAAGGCUCCCGAGCCUCGUGUGCCACCCCACUGCAGAAUUCCUGUUCAUCACGCUGAUUGUCACCAUAAAGCCUGAGCAAAAGUAAACUUUUCUGUCCCAAGAGUUUCCUUGUACUGAAAGAGCCACUGCUUGAGGCUUUUUACAGGAUCACAACCAAUGUCUGUUUCAUGUGGCAGGUCCCUGGGGACUGUAAUUGCAGAAGUAUAACCUGGCGGUUAUGCCACAUGGCCCAAGAAACUGCCAGGGGACCAACGUGCUUCCUGCCAGACGACCUUUUGCAGCUGAAGGCACUAGUGCCCCAUCUGCGGUCGCUGUCUCUGUAUGAACAAUUCUCUGAUGUUCCCUGGGCAAAAGGACGUGCUUGUUGACAACACUGAGUCAAAACUUGGAACCCUGAGCCCUCGCUCUGCCACCAUGUCACUUUCCUGUUAAUGGAGUGAUUGGUCAGGUGUUCAUUAACAAGGGUUUUUGAAACAAACUGUUUUUAAGUAUUAGGCAUUUCCUACCUUUGAAUCAACUCAGAGCUCAUUUCCUACGAAAAUGAUAAGUGAUAUCAAUAUAAGGAUGUGGAAGGUUUGCCCAGUUUAAGCGUUCGGAUUGGAGGCCUAAGCUGCAUGGCUGAGGGGAUUUGGGCCACAACUGGUCUCACUGGUUGAGGACAUGGAUGCUGGAGAUGCUCAGGUCUGGGCUUCUUUGUCUCUCUAGCCUCGGUAUUCUCAUCCAUAAAAUGGGGUGAUGUGAGAAGUCGAUGAGCUAAUAUUCAUUAGCACAUGAAUAAUGACAGCUAAUACUUGUGUGGCCCCCACUACAUCCCAGGCGCUGUUUUUCUGUUAACUCAUUUAUUCCUCAGAGCAAUCCUAUGAAGGAGGUACUAUAGUUGUCAGUCCCAUUUUACAGAUGGAAAGCUGAGGUACAGAAAGGUUAGUAACUUGCUCAAGGUCAUGCAACUACUAACUGCCAGACCUGGGAUUUGAACCUGUGCCUGACUGUGGAGCCCAUGUUCUUAUGACGCCAAGUUGCACCUUUUGUAAGACAGUCAGUCGGUGGCAUGCACUUGGUAAGUACUCAGUAACGAUCAGAACGGGGUAUACAGCAGAUCACCUGGAACAGAAGCCGUGUUUGUCACCUCUGUUGGCUAUGGUGCAAGGCAUGGGUGACCUUUAAGGGCCUAAUAGUGCUGUCUACUUAUCAAAGACUCAGCUUCUUAGCUGUGGCCGCAGGAGACUGGGGCAACCAGAAGUCCGGUAGGGUGUCAGGCCAAUAGUCAUCCUGGGGAUGAUGAGAUGCCAGCAGAUUGCUGCUGACUUGAGCCAAGCUGGUGGUGGGCACUUCAGGCCAUGCAGAGAACCAGGCAUAAGAACAGGGUGUGGCAGGGAAGAGACAUUUGGUCUGUGUGUGUGUGUGUGUGUGUGUAUGUGUUUAGGAAGGCAGAUGGGAGCCUCAGGUGAUUUCGGGUAUUGGGAAAGAUAGCUUGGGAUGGCGAGUUGGGUCUCAACCCUCGUCUCUCACUCAGGUCUACUCCUAACUGGAGACACUGAGAAGGAGAAUCAGGGAUGAAUGCAAGAAGGUGACGGGAGCCAUCCCAUCCCACACCUAUGUGUUAGGGAACGUGGGGGAUGUUUGAAUAGUAAAGAAAUGCCCAUAGGAUGUUUGGGGGGGCGAUGACUUUGGUAUUUCCUUUCAAAAGGCUGAAAAUACUGACAGUCUUGUGCUGAAACUGGUUUUAGAUUUUCACCCUGUUUGUCAUUCUGCUCUAAGACUGGCCAGGCACUAUUCUAGGGGAUGGAGAUUCAAAGACAGUAGACACAUAAACAUAUAACAGAAAUCAACACUGUCAUCCAGAAGUAAGCACUGGGGUCAUGGGAGCUUUGGGAUGGAAGAGGUGGGGUCAGAGACG